GGGUUCAUGGCCUAAUGGUAAGGCGUCAGAUUUCGGUUCGUCAACUAAUCCUCUGAAGAUUGCAGGUUCGAUCCCUGCUGAGCUCG